UACGGGGGGAGCAAGCGUUGUUCGGAUUUACUGGGCGUAAAGGGCUCGUAGGCGGCCAACUAAGUCGGAUGUGAAAUCCCCAGGCUUAACCUGGGAACUGCAUCCGAUACUGGAUGGCUUGAAUCCGGGAGAGGGAUGCAGAAUUCCAGGUGUAGCGGUGAAAUGCGUAGAUAUCAGGAGGAACACCGAUGGCGAAGGCAGUUCUCUGGGCCGUAACUGACGCUGAGGAGCGAAAGCGUGGGGAGCGAACAGG
rnacentral:rRNA from 1 species